UGUUUAAAUAGCUUAAUAAGAGCAUAGUAUUGAAGCUGCUAGGGUAACAAAUUUGUUUUUAAACAUC
rnacentral:tRNA from 1 species